GGGGAUUCGGCUCAGUGGUAGAGCACUUGCCUAGCAAGCACAAGGCCCUGGGUUCGGUCCCCAGCUCCA
rnacentral:tRNA from 1 species